CUUGCCAUGGCGAAUGCCUCUCAAGAUUCACGGCUCCCCACAGAGACCCACAAUUUGUCCCACCUACAAGAUAUGUAGAGAUAAAAGUAUCUGGUAUGGAGUUCACAUGUUUGGCCCUCAUGGGCUUAUGGAAUCCUAUGAAACAUAAUAACAAAUGGACCCAGCAUCAAAGCAACCCAGAUUUUAGAUAAGUGGUCUUCAACCAAUAUUGAAUUUUUCUGCAAAAAUUCAAAACUGUGCAGGUUUUAUCUUGUUAUUUUCCACUGACUGGUAUUCUGUUAACUCUCAUGGAGCUUCAUUCCAGAUCACACUUUGGAGGCUGCAUAGCCAUAUGAGACAACAAGGUCCUAUGUGUCAGAGGUUGGCACUGAACUUACUAGCCAGGAUGACCUUGAACUUGGAUAUACCAAUAAGGUUAUAGCCUCAAGAUCCCCUUUAACCAUGUUUAAGGCUGGUCCUGAGACAUGCUUGGCUCAGGCUUCCUGAGUGUGCACCAUCAGGCCUGCCUCAGACACAAUGUGGAUAAAAGACAGUGAAAGUCAUCUCACCUGAAGGUAAUU